UAUAAAAAAUUUCUAUUUAAGGAAUUAAAUCAUUGAUAUUAAAUAGGUUCAUAUAACUUUUUAAUAGACAGGCAUGAUUAACACUCCAGCCCAUGCUUUGGCCCAACCCAAGUAUGUCAAAUUUCUAUUUGGGCUAGACCUGGAUUGAAACAUUGGACUUGACCUCGGUUUGGGGCCUUAGGCCCAAUUCUUCAAAUUGGGCCUGGAUUGACCUCAAACCCAGCCCGGCCCUUCCAACUUGCACCACUACCUUAUAGAGUUUUGUAGAUUUUCGAUAAAGUGAAAGGGGCUAUAGGGUAGGUGAGAAGCACAUGGGCCAAGGUUUCUUUUUUGAGUAAAUUUUUUAAACUAUUCAUUGGCUAUAUCUUUAUUAUUUAAAAAUUGACUUACGCUAUUCUUACUAUUUUUGAAAAUUGACUAAUCCUUAUGUUUCAUUAACGUUCGUCAACGAUGAUCUGACAGAAACGAUUUUACCCUCAGCUAUAGGUUACUCAGAUUUCUCCCUCUCCUCAAAUCUGAGUAUCUCUUAAAUCUCAUAUCUGGGUUCCACCGAGUCCGCACAACUGCUGUUUCUCGGUUUCCAAGUUAAAACCAGUGGAUACCGCCCAAGAAUCCCUGCCCAACCCUCACCGAGCCCAGUUUGCUUAGGAUUGCUCAGACUUCAGAGAAGAAGACAAUGGCUUUGCACCUCGUGCUCUGAUUCUUCUUCAAACCCUGCAACCCAUGGCAUCAUGGCAUCGUCGGAGACGGAAAGAGUGAGAUGGAGAGGAGGGAUCUCUGCAACAAAACCUGCAACCCCUGCAACCCAUGGCGUGAACAACCCUUCCUCUUCUUCUUCUUCUCUUCACCCCUACAACCCAUGGCAUCACGGCAUCGUCCGCGACGGAAAGAGGGAGAUGGAGAGGAGGAUCUCUACAACAAAACCUACAACCCAUGGCAUGAACAAACCCUUCCUCUUCUUCUUCUCUUCACCCCUGCAACCCCUGCAAACCAAACUUCUCUUCACCCAAUCGUUGGGGUCGGGUUCAGCUCCACCACCGUCGUCAGCUCCGCCACCGCCAUCGUCGUCUACGUUCAUUUUUAGCUUCAACAAGACACGACUCUCUUUGGGCUUUGGAUUAAAAACUGCUGACAUGCUGCAUGUGCCACUGUAACAGCAACUAACAACCACUAUAACAGCUCCGCCACUGUCGUCUACAUCGACCCCCUCCGGCAUCGGCAUCUUCGUGGCAAGAUUAGCACUAGGUUGGAGAUUGUUUGAAGGACUUGGGCGGUUUGGGUGGAAAUGCCAAUGUAGAUGAGGAGCUUGGCGAGUUGGCGCCGAGAGAAAGGCAAGGUGGAGGGCCAUGGAGGGACGAUGGAGCUGCUGCAUGUGCAACGUUAACGGUGCUUGCCCCAACCAUGAGCAAAGACGGUUUGUUGCACAAAACCUUCGACAACGCCUCUGUAUCUCAGUAAUUUCUACUCUUUUUUUAUUUAAUUCUUGGUCUGUGACUGUACGAAAGUUCUUGUAAAGUACCAAAGUCACUUAAUUCCGAUGCAUUGCCUAUAGUUUUAGGUUUCAAUCUA